UAUUGCAUAAUAUUGAGCUGCGAUUAUUUUUCUAUAUAUUGUCAUGCUCAAUCUAUUUGCUAUCUUAUGAUAUCCUUUGAUUUAAAUUAAUAUUUUUAAAAGCAUGUUUACAAAUCUGCAUAUUCAGAGAUUGUUUUGUCAUCAUCAAAAAUGGGGAGAUUGUUAGGGAAAUCCCUUAUGAUGUUUUGAAGAUGACAAAAU
rnacentral:lncRNA from 1 species